UACGUAGGGGGCAAGCGUUGUCCGGAAUCAUUGGGCGUAAAGGGCGCGUAGGUGGCGGGACAAGCGUGCGGUGAAAGCCUGGGGCUCAACCCCGGGUCGGCCGUGCGAACUGUUUUGCUUGAGCACUGUAGAGGCAGGCGGAAUUCCGGGUGUAGCGGUGGAAUGCGUAGAGAUCCGGAAGAACACCGGUGGCGAAGGCGGCCUGCUGGGCAGUAGCUGACACUGAGGCGCGACAGCGUGGGGAGCAAACAGG
rnacentral:rRNA from 1 species